AGCUGGGGGUAGGCAUAGCAAGGGGGUGAGCAGGGUGGACACACAGCAAUAGACAGUUCCCCACACCCACAGGGCUUCACCCAAGCCUGUCCCUUUAGGCCGCUGCCUGGAAGCUUCUGUACUCCUCGCUCCUGAGAGCCCUGAGAAUAGGAGCCAAGUGAGAUACACCUCAUAACGUAUUCUUCAGAGACUGACAGUCUUAUUACCCUUCAUCCAGCAGCCCUGCCUCUCUAGAUACAGUGCCUGCCCUGCUUCCUCCAGGAAGCCUGCCUAGGUCAUUUCUUCCAUGUGACCCUCUUUUCUGCCUCCAGCUUCCAGGCCACUUCUGGGGAGCUGGUCACCUCCUCUCCACUUGGCAGGGUCUGCCUGGCUUGACUGCACCCCAUGGUGCUCCAUUAAGAGCCGCCUUCUCCUUCUGCCCUUCUCCUUCUGCCGUGGGACGCAGAAGGCCCCACCCGCCAAUGCAUGAGUCAGUCUGCUGGGAGCAAGAGGUCCUUCUGUGUGACAACCAUUUUCCUCUCAAGAGAGCAAAAGGAGCAGAAGAGAGGAAGCAACAGAUGAGGAUGCCCGGCUCCCAGCAGGGGAAGAGAAGCUGCGGGGCUGAAGCCCAAAGAGUCCAGGCCACAGCUUGUGUGCAGAGGAAGUAGACUUAAGCUGCAAAGACUCUGAGACCAGACCAGAUGCCUGGAAGAUGCAAAAACCAGCCAAGCUGCCUGGAAGAAGCUUAGAUGAACUGGUCCACUUAGAAAGGACACUCUUCAAUCCUCUGAGUUGCCUGUAGGCUGCAUAGUUGCUCCAAGUUCCCAGCUUGUGAACUGUCACCCACACUGGGGUAGGCUUUAAAGAUGCAGCUGGUUUUGAGUCAUUUCUGCUCCUAUAAGUAACCCUUCCCCAUAUUCCUGUAAGUCCAAUAAAAAUCAUGGUUCACACCG